rnacentral:rRNA from 1 species
GACGAACGCUGGCGGCGUGCUUAACACAUGCAAGUCGAACGGAAAGGCCCUGCUUUUGUGGGGUGCUCGAGUGGCGAACGGGUGAGUAACACGUGAGUAACCUGCCCUUGACUUUGGGAUAACUUCAGGAAACUGGGGCUAAUACCGGAUAGGAGCUCCUGCUGCAUGGUGGGGGUUGGAAAGUUUCGGCGGUUGGGGAUGGACUCGCGGCUUAUCAGCUUGUUGUGGGGUAGUGGCUUACCAAGGCUUUGACGGGUAGCCGGCCUGAGAGGGUGACCGGCCACAUUGGGACUGAGAUACGGCCCAGACUCCUACGGGAGGCAGCAGUGGGGAAUAGUGCACAAUGGGCGGAAGCCUGAUGCAGCAACGCCGCGUGCGGGAUGACGGCCUUCGGGUUGUAAACCGCUUUCGCCUGUGACGAAGCGUGAGUGACGGUAAUGGGUAAAGAAGCACCGGCUAACUACGUG